GAGUGCCGUCAAUUAUACAAAGAGGAACGCGUACGUUUUUAUAAGUCUCAGUGCUCGCAGAACUGAACUGCUCUUACACACCUUGCACUUGUUUUUAGUGACCAGAUGCUGUUGAUAUUUUUGCAGAGCACAGUGUGCAGGCUGCUUUGCUUUCUUUCGCCAUCAUUAAUUUGUCAGACAUGUCUGGAAAGUUGUCAUGUCACUUCAUCUGUUUAUUAACCUGGCAACAUGCACUGAGCUGACGUCGUGUAGUGAUGUCGUCACACGGUUUCAGAUGUUGACGUCGGAGCUACGAGUAUGAGUAAACGCGCAUGGUAUCAAACCAGUAACUGGUAACUGUAUCGGUUUUGAUGCAUCCCUAAGUUUUUACCUUAACUGCGAAUGACCAGUCGAGACAUGGUGCUCGGUGUCCUGCUUUAUUAACUCUGUGCAGUUUGAGAGAGGUGUAUGAUUUAGCAUGUAGGCUGUAUGAUGGUAAACAGGUCAUGAUAAGCUUCUCUUACUUUAGUCUUUUAGUGCUCCAGUGCAUAAAUCAAUAAAGAAGGUGUUUCUGGCACUAAACGUGCUCCUUGCCAUGUAAGUUUGGUGCUUGUGUAAGUUGAAUUUUUGGCUGUUAUUUAAUUAGUGACUGACACUGCCGCCAUGCUUAUGGAAACCCAUUGAACUGCCUGCUCGCAUAAACAUCAUCAAAAGAAGCAUUAAAGAGAUGAUUAGGCAAAUCUAUGCAGAAAUUGUGCUCACAUAAUAUAGUGGUCCCUUUCAUCCAUUUCACAAUCAAAAACUUUGACUCGUGCCAGUUUUUUUUUUCCUCCUUCCUUCAGUUUUUCCUCUUCCUCCUCUAUUUGUAUCAUUAUUUAUUUUGAUUUUUAUUUUUUUUUGUGAUGUGUUUAAAAUCACUGUAAAAAUCCCCCUUGUGUUUGAGUUAUUUUUCAAUUUUUUUUUCAUGGCUUUGGGACUUGUUUGUUUCUCCUUCAAGCAUUUAUCUACCUCACCCUUUUUUUUUAUAUAUAUAAAUAUAUGAACCUGUAUAUAAAGAAAAUUCAUCAGAUUUCUUUUCCCCCCAGCCAAAAAAAAGGACUCUGUAAGUGCUCUGUGUAUGUGAGUAAACCUCAAACACUACCAACCACGGCCUGGCGGCGGAGGCGCGCUGGCAUUGUGGAGGUUCGGACAAACUGGCUGCUUUCUUGCAUCCCUAUACGGUUUCCAAUUUGUUCCUUAUUUAUUUUAGAAAAAAAGGCCUUAUAAGUUAGCUUCAAAUGUGCUGGAACGUUGUUGACAUUUAAUUUAUGCCUCUUUUGUCUUGCUGAGACGGGGGAAAACGGUACUGAGACGUCAGAGUGAAACGGUCCUUUAUUCAUCAAGAUGGGUUUUUUUUGUUUGUUUGUUUUUGUUUGUUUGCUUUUCCCCCACAAUUGUUCACCAAGUUCUAUGUUUUCUCUCAAGCUUUAUUGUAAUUGUAAGUUCAUUAUUGAGUAUUGUGUUGGAAUUUAAACAUGAAUUGAAAAUCGAUUGCCGAGAACGUUGUCGACUGUAUGUUGGUGGCUUCUGAGUCAGUAUUGUUUGAAUGGCUUCUGGUGAAUUUAGAUGUUUUGUGCCGGGCGUCGGAAAGCUGAACCACUUUAGAAAUGGGUGAAAUUGUAAGACGAUUGGACCGAGAGUUUAAAGGACAUGACACUAAAUUUGCUCUUGCCUUUAUACAUUAUGCAGCCAACAAUCAGAACCGAUAUGGCUUGGUUAAAAGUGAAACGGGUUGCUGCAGAAAACAGUAGCUAUUAGUCCUCAUCAUUGCUCUCUCUUUACUCAACUGCCUUAAAAUUAGGCAUGUGCUGAUAUUCAGUUUGGAUAUCAUGAGAAGUUCUGACCUUUCAUCGCGGUUAAUGAUGCGGCCUCCUGUCUUCAUGCAUCUCUUGAUAGCCUUCAUCCUCCCCAGCUGGAAGCUGACGUAUGACGGGAGAGCUUGCUGGUGCGUGGGACUUGAUCCAGACUAAAUUGGGGAGAAAAUCAGGGGAAAAUGUUUUUAUUGACUUCCUAAUUUUGCCUCGACCUUCUGCAGAGAUCGUGUUGGGUAAGGAGCCAGUUUAACAAACAUGAUUGUGAAAAGUCAGUGUACCUAACGAUGUGCCAUUACUUUACACAGCAGAGGUCCCGAUUUGAUCAAGUUGUUGGAUAGCUGUGUGCCGUAGUGUAAUGCUCAUAAGCUUAAUCAGUUCCAUUUAUGCUAGCUCUUAAAAUAUCCAGGAUGCCCCUGUGCCUUCUCGUUAUCAAACUAGAGAAGAGCCUUUACGUACUCUGGCAAGAAGCAAAGUUUUAAAAUAUUCAAAUGAACCUAAUAAUAAUACCACCGGAACAAAUCUGACCGAAUGAAUCGGCCGUUAUUUCCGCAGCUAUGUUAGAGUGAACAAAGUGACCACGCGUCACAUUUCCCAUCGUAAACCUAUAAUUCGUUGAGAUUGGACAUCAUUUGUAUCUCAUUACGUUAAAUACAAACGAAAUAAAUAAGCAGUAACUGCUUUCAGUGCAAUUCUUUGAAAUCUUACAAUGCAGUUUUUUCCCUUUUCUCUUUUAAUAUUUAAGAAUGCUAGAGCUUCAGGUUAAGAUGUAUACAAAAGCUAAACAUAUUUACAAUCUAUACAGUUUAUAGGAGAGAACGUCAGAAUUUGCGCAUUUGAAGGGAUUUCCCAGGUCACAACAUAUUUAUCCAGCUUUGAAAGAUCAGAUCUUUUCAUUCAGGACCGACGUUAUCUCCUUAAACCGUCACUCCGAUGACAUGUAUGGGUACUGAGAAUGUUCUGUUAAAUAUUGCGAUAUAUCACAGAUUAUCAGCACAUGCCUACUUCACACAGAAUGGUAAAGCCAUUUAGGACUGAUGCUGCAAC
ensembl:lncRNA